rnacentral:lncRNA from 12 species
AUGGAAAUAUAUCUUGUGUUCAUAAAAGGCCAUGCUAUCCAAAGCAAUCUAUAGAUUCAAUGCAAUGCAAUGAUUUUUGUAUAUGAAACUUUUUAAAGCGCAAGCAAAAACAUAAACAAAUGGGACUACAUCAAACUAAAAUCUUCCGCACAUCAAAAGAAAUUAUCUACAAAGUGAAAAGGCAACCUAUGGAAUGGGAGAAAAUACUUGUACAUUCCUAGCAGUGGAAUUGCUGAGUCAGAAGGUAAGUGCAUAUGUAGCUUUGCUAAACACAGCCAAAUUUCUCUCCAGAAGGGAUAUAACAAUUUUCUUUUCCACAAGCAAUAUAUGAAAGUGUCUGUUCUCCCCAGCCUCUCCAACAGAAUGUGUUGUCUCGCUUUCUAACUUUUACCAGUCUGACAGAUGAGAAGUGAUAUCUUAAUAUUGUUUGUAUUUUAAUUUCUUUGAUUUUAGUUAGAUUGAAUAUUUUUCAUGUUUGAGCAUCAUUUUCAUAUCGUUUUAGAGAAUUUUUAUUCACUCCUUAGUUAUCUUUUAAAGAAGUUAAUACAUAAAAAUGUCUGAUAUUUAUUCACAUAUUUACCAUUUCUAGUACUUGUCUACUUUCUAUGGAUCCAAGUUUCCAUCUGAUAGCAUUUUCUUUGAGCUUGAACUACCUUUAACAUUUCCCUUAGAGUAGGUCUGCUGGCAACACAUUUUCUCAGCUUUAGUUCUUCCAAAAAUGUCUUUUCUUUGCCUUCAUUUUUUGACAGAUAUUUUUGCUAGAUAUGGAAAUCUAGGUUGCCAGUUAUUUCCUCCCAGUACUCUAUGUUGUGCUGUUGUCUUCCAGCUUACACCUUCUCUGACAAGAAGUCCGAAAUCAUUCUGAUCCUGUUUCUCUGCUUGGCUCCAUCUGGUGGUGUUCAAUCCCUGAGCACCAGAGAGGACCUCUGGGAAGGAGUUUUCAGUAAGAAGAAAACUUUGAAAAUCCUUGAAUGGGGUCUCGCACAUAUUAAGCUACCUUCUCUGUCCACUUUGUCAAAGAACAGUAUGGCUUAGUUCAUUGUAGUCAUGCUUAUAAUGACAUUUUGAAUCUAUUUACAUACAUCAUCUCAUUCAGUUUCCUCAAGAAUACUCCGAUAAAACUGUUAUUCCUAUCAAUUUUAUAGGCAAGAAAAUCAAAGCUCUUAGAGAUCUGGCAAUUUGCUCCAAGUUCUAUUGAUUUUAAGAUUGGAACUCAGGUUUCAUUUGAGGGUAAAGCCUCCAAUUUUAACCCUAAACUUUAUUGCCAGCUCUGUCAAGGUGAUUGAGUAAUAUUUAAACUGAAAAGAAAAACAGGUUAGAUGGCUUCGUGGUCAUCACAGUCACAGAAACCACCUUUUUAGAUUUGUGCACUACUGGUUGAACAACUGAUACAUUCUCCUUUGGAUGGGAAGAUCUGAGUUUGCCUUACUGAGCUGCUGCUUUUUCCAUAGACUGUGGGAAAAUUGAGGAUAUCCUUGCUCCAAAGACCUAGGCCAUGGCAGGUAUUCUUCUACAGGAGGACCAGAGAGGUGCAUAGUGGCAGCCUGCACAAGAGUGCAUGGUUUCUAGUCUUCAGGGGCACCCUGGUGAGUAACUGCACUGUGUUGUUGGCUUCCUACUUUGUGACUGACUGGGAAAGAUCAUUCUAAUCAAGACAGUAGACCUCCAAGUCUACUUAGAGGGGAAAUAUCAGGAUGACAACCAGGAUGAGAAGAACAUCCAGAAUCUGUGUAUUUCUGCUACCAUUCUGCAGCCCAACUCUGACCUCAUCCUGCUUGAUGCUAAGUUUACCAUUUUGAAGCUCCUGAACAAGGCUCAUGUCAGCCCCCUCAUCCAGCUCAUUUUCCUUGAGGCCACUUGGGACCUCAGCAUCUCCUUCCAGGAGUCCCACAUCACUGUGGCCUGCUGGAAGGUGCUGGCCAAGUGAAAGACC